rnacentral:lncRNA from 1 species
GUUUCCUGCAAGGUAUUCCUACUGUAACCUUCGACCUUCCGGUGGGGUUACUGCUCUCAAAAUCAAAAAUAUUUAAACUAAAACAUGAAAAGUAUUCCUCUCGUUAUACAGGUGGGCGCCUAUUUAAACUAAGACUGAAAAGUAUUCCUCUCGUUAUACAGGUGGGCGCCUAUUUAAACUAAGACUGAAAAUAUUCCUCUCGUUAUACAGGUGGGCGCCUAUUUAAACUAAGACUGAAAAUAUUCAUCUCGUUAUACAGGUGGGCACCUAUUUAAACUAAGACAUGAAAAGUAUUCCUCUCGUUAUACAGGUGGGUGCCUAUUUAAACUAAGACUGAAAAGUAUUCCUCUCGAUAUACAGGUGGGCGCCUAUUUAAACUAAGACUAAAAAUUAUUCCUCUCGUUAUACAGGUGGGCGCCUAUUUAAACUAAGACUGAAAAUUAUUCCUCUUAUUAUACAGGUGGCCGCCUAUUUAAACUAAGACUGAAAAGUAUUCCUCUCGUUAUACA